UGGGGACUAAUAGCAGAAUUUAUCCUUUAAAUUUCCUGUGGCGUAGGGAAGUGGAGACUUUUGGUUGGAAUUGGAAGACUUGAUGAGCCGCCACGCCAUUGCUAUCUGGUUCCCAGUUUCCUGGCUACUUCCAAGUAAUUAUGUGAAUUAAUAAAUUACAUGACUAACUUAUUCAUAAAAGUCAACAAUUUAAUUUUGAAAUAAGUAAAUUUAUAAAGAAUUAGAUGAUCUCACAUGGUGAAAAAAAUCUGGCACCAGGACAUGAGGAUGCAGCUUCAAGGGUUACCCCACCGAAGCAGAAAGGAUAGACGAGGAGUGUGGCCAGAAGGAAUGGACGUAGGUUCCCCCAUCCAUAUGGCCAGAAGGAUGCAGCUUCAAGUUGCCAAAGGAAACAUAUCGGGAAUGAAGGAUCUGCAUUAAUAUAAGAGCUAUAUGAGGAACAUUGGCUCUUAAUUUUUAUCUCAAUUUGUGACUGCAAAUACAUGACUGGAAGUGAUCAACUCCUCCAUGUCUGCAUGGCAGUGGUGUAGUUUCUUCGACUAAUGUUGGCAGGAUACUCAAAUUGUGAAAGUGUGUUACAUUGGCAGUGUCGUGAAAGCCUUUCAACAAAUGGAAUUGGACAAGCAGCAAGUAAAGUAGGCUAACUCCAUCUAUGGGUUUGCUAAUCAAAGCAAUGAGGUGAAAGGGUCGAUCAUGCUUCUAGCCACUCUUGGGAAGGAGAACCAAACAUCAGCAUACAAGGCUACUUUUAGGCGUCCACCGCUGAAAGUGGCCCUAACAACCUUCUGCGUGCAGGCAAAAUUCCUCACCUCAAAAAGGGGAACCAGAAGGGUAGAGGCAGAUUAGCAUGUAGCAAGGCAGUGCCACAUGGUGUCAUUACAAAUGGCAUGAACCCAAGCAAACAAGGAACCAUUUGGUGCCCGCCUUGAGAGACACACAAUCAACAACUUUCAAGGAGAAAUUAGGUGUUCAAUACAGAGCCAAGAGGGAAAAUUGAAAACGUCUACUUACAACCAGGUUUGUCAAUUAUUAAUAUUUUUUCAUGGAGUUAUUACUUUUUGUCGAAACUUUUUUUUUUGAAAAACAAAAAUAUGUUAUCGACUUUAAAAACAAAAAUUGGAGUCGCCAUCGAUCCGUGAUUUAGGUGUGACCGGCUCACCUUUAAAACAAAUUUGGUCUACGAAAUUUGAGAAAACGGGUUCGGAAGUCAGUUACGCACGAGGAAGGGUUAGCACCCUCGUAACGCCCAAAAAUCGGUACCAAAUUGAUUAUCUAAUGUCUUGGUGUCGAAAAUUAAAAAGAUUUUGUUAAACUCAAAUAUUGAAAUCUAAAAAGGAUAAUCAAUUAUUCAAGUCAUGCGAAGAAAUUGAGACCCAAUACGUUAGGGUACAAUUUCUCAAAAUCCCCAAAUUUUGAAUAUUACUUUUCAAUUAAAUUUUUUAAAGAAAAUCUUCAUUUCGAGAAAAUAAUGUCAUGCCCAAUGCGUUAGGACAUAGCAUAUUGAAUUCCCGAAAAUGAUUUUUGUUUAUAUUUUAAAUAACGA
rnacentral:lncRNA from 1 species